rnacentral:rRNA from 1 species
UAGGGAAUCUUCCACAAUGGGCGCAAGCCUGAUGGAGCAACGCCGCGUGAGUGAAGAAGGUUUUCGGAUCGUAAAGCUCUGUUGUAAGAGAAGAACGUGUGUGAGAGUGGAAAUUCACACAGUGACGGUAACUUACCAGAAAGGGACGGCUAACUACGUGCCAG